ACGGAAGGCAGCAGUGGGGAAUAUUGGGCAAUGGGCGAAAGCCUGACCCAGCGACGCCGCGUGAGGGAAGAAGGUCUUCGGAUUGUAAACCUUAGUCAACAGGGAAGAAGCAAGUGACGGUACCUGUGGAGGAGGCCACGGCUAACUACGUGCCAGCAGCCGCGGUAAUACGUAGGGGGCAAGCGUUAUCCGGAUUUACUGGGUGUAAAGGGAGCGUAGACGGUUUGGCAAGUCUGAAGUGAAAUGCGGGGGCUCAACUCCUGAACUGCUUUGGAAACUGUCGAACUAGAGUGCAGGAGAGGUAAGUGGAAUUCCUAGUGUAGCGGUGAAAUGCGUAGAUAUUAGGAGGAACACCAGUGGCGAAGGCGGCUUACUGGGCUUUAACUGACGCUGAGGCUCGAAAGCGUGGGGAGCAAACAGGAUUAGAUACCCUGGUA
rnacentral:rRNA from 1 species